rnacentral:rRNA from 1 species
GACGAACGCUGGCGGCGUGCUUAACACAUGCAAGUCGAGCGGUAAGGCCCUUUCGGGGUACGACGAGCGGCGAACGGGCGAGUAACACGUGGGUGACCUGCCCUCCAGCUCUGGGAGUAAGACCUGGGAAACCGGGUACCGUAAUACCGGAUAUGACUCCAUGACGCAUGUUGUGGGGUGGAAAGCCUUGUGCGGCUGAGGAUGGGCCCGCGGCCUAUCAGCUUGUUGGUGGGGUGAUGGCCUACCAAGGCGACGACGGGUAGCCGGCCUGAGAGGGCGACCGGCCGACACUGGGACUGAGACACGGCCCAGACUCCUACGGGAGGCAGCAGUGGGGAAUCUUGCGCAAUGGGCGAAAGCCUGACGCAGCGACGCCGCGUGAGGGAUGACGGCCU